AGGUGGCUGGGUGAUCGCGGCACCGGGAACCACCCCCCUAGACGGGGACAGGCCAGGUGCGGAGGAAAGUCCGGACUCCACAGAGCACGGUGGUUGCUAACGGCAACCCGGGGCGACCCGCGGGAUAGUGCCACAGAAAUAAACCGCCAGCCCGCUCAACCGCCCUUCGGGGCGGGUGGCUGGUAAGGGUGAAAAGGUGCGGUAAGAGCGCACCAGCACCGUAGGUGACUGCGGUGGCUAGGUAAACCCCACCGGGAGCAAGGUCAAGUGACCGCACCCAGGCUUGAAGAAGGCCAGCGGUGCGGUGGUGUUUCAAGGGCUGCUCGUCCGCAAAAAGAAACAGGUAGGCCGCUUGAGGCGCGCCAGCAAUGGUGCGUCCAGAUGGAUGAUCGCCACGCGCGGAAAAGAGGUGCUCCCUCACCGGGCGAAACAGAAUCCGGCUCAUAGGCUGCCUC
rnacentral:RNase_P_RNA from 1 species